ACCGGCGGCUCGAGUGGUGGCCACUAUUACUGGGCUUAAAGCGUUCGUAGCUGGCUUGUUAAGUCUCUGGGGAAAUCUUCCGGCUCAACCGGAAGGCGUCUCAGGGAUACUGGCAGGCUAGGGACCGGAAGAGGUGAGAGGUACUCCAGGGGUACGACUGAAAUCCUGGACUCCGUGGGGGACCACCUGUGGCGAGGGCGUCUCACCAGGACGGCACCGACAGUAACGAACCAAAGCUGGUGGACCACACCG
rnacentral:rRNA from 1 species